GGGGCCCGCACCCAAUAUCCUCNGCAGGGAAAACCCUGACGCACCAACGCCGCGUGAGUGAUGAAGGCUUUCGGGUCGUAAAGCUCUGUCAAGUGGGAAGAACCUACUUAUGGUUAAUACCCAUGAGUACUGACGGUACCACUGAAGGAAGCACCGGCUAACUCCGUGCCAGCAGCCGCGGUAAUACGGGGGGUGCAAGCGUUAUUCGGAUUUACUGGGCGUAAAGCGCGCGCAGGCGGUUUUGUAAGUCGGAUGUGAAAGCCCUGGGCUCAACCCGGGAAGUGCAUUCGAUACUGCAUAACUUGAGUAUGGGAGAGGGAAGUGGAAUUCCUGGUGUAGAGGUGAAAUUCGUAGAUAUCAGGAGGAACAUCGGUGGCGAAGGCGACUUCCUGGACCAAUACUGACGCUGAGGCGCGAAGGCGUGGGGAGCAAACAGGAUUAGAUACCCUGGUAGUCCACGCAGUAAACGAU
rnacentral:rRNA from 1 species